rnacentral:rRNA from 1 species
UACGGAGGGGGCCAGCGUUAUUCGGAAUUACUGGGCGUAAAGGGUGCGUAGGCGGCGAGAUAAGUGAUAAGUGAAAGCCCUCGGCUUAACCGGGGAACGGCUUGUCAUACUGUCUUGCUCGAGUAUGGGAGAGGAAAGCGGAAUUCCCGGUGUAGCGGUGAAAUGCGUAGAGAUCGGGAGGAACACCAGUGGCGAAGGCGGCUUUCUGGACCAUGACUGACGCUGAGGCACGAAAGCGUGGGUAGCAAACAGGAUUAGAUACCCCAGUAGU